AUGGUGCCGCUGUUUGUUUUGCAAUGCCAACCCACGUGAGCGAGAAACGACGCCUUAACUGCUGGCAA
rnacentral:snoRNA from 1 species